UGGGGAAUUUUGGACAAUGGGGGAAACCCUGAUCCAGCCAUCCCGCGUGUGCGAUGAAGGCCUUCGGGUUGUAAAGCACUUUUGGCAGGAAAGAAACGUCAUGGGUUAAUACCCCGUGAAACUGACGGUACCUGCAGAAUAAGCACCGGCUAACUACGUGCCAGCAGCCGCGGUAAUACGUAGGGUGCAAGCGUUAAUCGGAAUUACUGGGCGUAAAGCGUGCGCAGGCGGUUCGGAAAGACAGAUGUGAAAUCCCAGAGCUCAACUUUGGAACUGCAUUUUUAACUACCGGGCUAGAGGGUGUCAGAGGGAGGUGGAAUUCCGCGUGUAGCAGUGAAAUGCGUAGAUAUGCGGAGGAACACCGAUGGCGAAGGUAGCCUCCUGGGAUAACACUGACGCUCAUGCACGAAAGCGUGGGGAGCAAACAGG
rnacentral:rRNA from 1 species